UACGUAGGGGGCUAGCGUUGUCCGGAAUCAUUGGGCGUAAAGAGCGUGUAGGCGGCUCGGUAAGUCCGCUGUGAAAGUCCAGGGCUCAACCCUGGAACUGCCAGUGGAAACUGUCGAGCUAGAGUCCGGAAGAGGCGAGUGGAAUUCCUGGUGUAGCGGUGAAAUGCGCAGAUAUCAGGAGGAACACCAAUGGCGGAAGGCAGCUCGCUGGGACGGUACUGACGCGUGAGACGCGAAAGCGUGGGGAGCAAACAGG
rnacentral:rRNA from 1 species